AGGAAGGGCAUUUGGUGGAUGCCUUGGCAUGCACAGGCGAUGAAGGACGUGGCACGCUGCGAUAAGCUGUGGGAAGGUGUGAGCAACCGUUGAUCCGCAGAUUUCCGAAUGGGGAAACCCGACUCUUAGAGUCAUUUGUAUCUGAAUACAUAGGAUGCAGAAGCAAACCCGGGGAACUGAAACAUCUCAGUACCCGGAGGAAAGGACAUCAACCGAGACUCCGUUAGUAGUGGCGAGCGAACGCGGACCAGGCCUGUGAUAUUUCUGUAAGAACUGGAAGCUUCUGGAAAGUUGCGCCGCAGCGGGUGAUAGCCCCGUACAGGUAGAAAUCAGAUUUAUCCUCGAGUAGGGCGGGACACGUGAAAUCCUGCCUGAACGUGGGGGGACCACCCUCCAAGCCUAAGUACUCCUUAUCGACCGAUAGUGAACAAGUACCGUGAGGGAAAGGUGAAAAGCACCCCGAUAAGGGGAGUGAAAUAGAGCCUGAAACCGAAUGCCUACAAUCUGUGGGAGCCUCCUUGAGGGGUGACCGCGUACCUUUUGUAUAAUGGGUCAGCGAGUUACUUUUACUGGCAAGGUUAACCGUAUAGGGGAGCCGUAGGGAAACCGAGUCUUAAUAGGGC
rnacentral:rRNA from 14 species